rnacentral:rRNA from 1 species
UGAGGAAUACUGGUCAAUGGGCGAGAGCCUGAACCAGCCAAGUAGCGUGAAGGAUGACUGCCCUACGGGUUGUAAACUUCUUUUGUUUGGGAAUAAAAGACGCUACGUGUAGCGUUCUGCAUGUACCUUACGAAUAAGCAUCGGCUAAUUCCGUG